rnacentral:rRNA from 1 species
AACGAACGCUGGCGGCAUGCCUAACACAUGCAAGUCGAACGGGAUCCGAGCUUCGGUUCGGUGAGAGUGGCGGACGGGUGAGUAACGCGUGGGAACCUGCCCAGUGGUGGGGGGAUAACUGCGGGAAACUGCAGCUAAUACCGCAUGAGCCCGAGAGGGGAAAGAUUUAUCGCCAUUGGAGGGGCCCGCGUUCGAUUAGGUAGUUGGUGAGGUAACGGCUCACCAAGCCUUCGAUCGAUAGCUGGUCUGAGAGGAUGAUCAGCCACACUGGGACUGAGAUACGGCCCAGACUCCUACGGGAGGCAGCAGUGGGGAAUAUUGGACAAUGGGGGGCAACCCUGAUCCAGCAAUGCCGCGUGAGUGAUGAAGGCCUUCGGUUGUAAGCUCUUUGUCCAGGGACGAUGAUGACGUUACCUGGAGAAUAAGCCCCGGCUAACUUCGUGCCAGCAGCCGCGGUAAU